rnacentral:rRNA from 1 species
AGUAUAAAUCGGAAAACGGGGACCACUGGAAUUUUCAAGGGACGGGUCAGAGUGCGCCUUGUUUCUCUUGAGAGCGGCGGACGGGUGAGUAAUGCCUAGGACGUCUGCCUGGUAGUGGGGGAUAACGUUCGGAAACGGACGCUAAUACCGCAUACGUCCUACGGGAGAAAGCAGGGGACCUUCGGGCCUUGCGCUAUCAGAUGAGCCUAGGUCGGAUUAGCUAGUUGGUGAGGUAAUGGCUCACCAAGGCGACGAUCCGUAACUGGUCUGAGAGGAUGAUCAGUCACACUGGAACUGAGACACGGUCCAGACUCCUACGGGAGGCAGCAGUGGGGAAUAUUGGACAAUGGGCGAAAGCCUGAUCCAGCCAUGCCGCGUGUGUGAAGAAGGUCUUCGGAUUGUAAAGCACUUUAAGUUGGGGGGAAGGGUUGUAGAUUAAUACUCUGCAAUUUUGACGUUACCGACAGAAUAAGCACCGGCUAACUCUGUGCCAGCACCCGCAGUAAUACAGAGGGUGCGAGCGUUAAUCGGAAUUACUGGGCGUAAAGCGCGCGUAGGUGGUUUGUUAAGUUGGAUGUGAAAUCCCCGGGCUCAACCUGGGAACUGCAUUCAAAACUGACUGACUAGAGUAUGGUAGAGGGUGGUGGAAUUUCCUGUGUAGCGGUGAAAUGCGUAGAUAUAGGAAGGAACACCAGUGGCGAAGGCACCCCCUGUACUAAUACUGAAACACGAGGGGGCGAAAGCGGGGGGGAGCAAACAGGAUUAGAUACCCUGGUAGUCCCACCCCGUAAACAAUGUCAACUAGCCGUUGGAAGCCUUGAGCUUUUAGUGGCACCCUAACGCAUUAGUUGACCGACUGGGGAAGUACGGCCGCAAGGUUAAAACUCAAAUGAAUUGACGGGGGCCCCCCCAAGCGGGUGGAGCUUGUGUUUAAUUCAAGCAACGACAAGAACCUUACCGGGCCUUGACUUCCAUUGAACUUUAUAAAGUUAGAUGGGGGCUUUCGGGAACAUUGGAACAGUGCUGCAUGGUCGUCCUCAGCUCUGUUCGUGAAAGUUGGGUUAAGUCCCUACCAGCCCCACCUUGGCCUUAAUUACCGGCCGUUUUGGUGGGCACUUAAGGAAAUGCCGGGAAAAACCGGAGGGAGGGGGGGAUGACUUCAGUCUUCCUGGCCUUUACGCCUGGGCUCACCCUUGCUUC